CUGAAGGUGACAGAACAAUGUCGGCUGGUCAUUAAAAUGAUAAAUUGCGUCGCAGCGUAACCCAUUCGAAUCAACGCCGCGCGUCAGUAUUACUCACAAUUGGAGUGCGAAUUUCUGUUGAUCUGAAGGUACCAGGUUUCUCGGAAGAUUUAAGCCGAACUCUACGUAAAUGGAUCGAUUAAAAUGGAAACGAGCAACGGCCACCCGAAGGAUUUUUUUGUUAUCUAUCAGCUUGGACUACCGGCUAGGCCUUGGGAAUCUGCGAAUUUGCUAGUGAAGCCAGGCCGAAUGAACGAUUCCUGAUGAUAGCUAGGCGGAUGGGUGUUCUAUAAUGUGUCGAAGCUGACAAAGAAGGCACACGAAUGCAUUGUCUGUCGGACAGUGUUGUCACCUCUAAACAGUGGAGCAUCUGUCUUGAACAGAUUGGUGACCGUACUUUGGAGAUUUCAAAUUUAACAAGGAAAAGUGAGAGACAGAAGGAAUGGACUUGGAAAAAAUAAUUGCUGCAGUAGUAAACAUCUGACCGUGCAGGUCCUCGGCGUGGAAUUAUGUUUAACGAUAUAAAUGAUUUUCACGCUGCUAAACAUUGUCUACACGGCACAGUGUGAAAAUCAAAGGUGUGGAGCUAAUUGCGUUUGUUAUGUCAGAUGUUAACGACAAAAAGAUAACUUGGACACGCAGUUACUGUAGAAAACGUUGAGCUCCGAGGACGACGACGCUGAUCUAUCAAAUGUAGCAGGCAAAAUGACAACUUAUGUCUGGGGCUUAAGCAAACAGAAAACGAAGAUUUCCUAAAAAAAUAAACUAUCGCACAUAUGGCUAAUUAAAAUUAACAUCGUUUCUGCUACAGAAUUAAGUUUGUAAUUUCAAAAGAAUGGUAAAUAAAGUGUUAUAAAUAAGUUCUCAUUUA